CCAAUAGCGUAUAUUAAAGUUGUUGUGGUUAAAAAGCUCGUAGUUGAACCUUGGGCCUGGCUGGCCGGUCCGCCUCACCGCGUGUACUGGUCCGGCCGGGCCUUUCCCUCUGUGGAACCCCAUGCCCUUCACUGGGUGUGGCGGGGAAACAGGACUUUUACUGUGAAAAAAUUAGAGUGCUCCAGGCAGGCCUAUGCUCGAAUACAUUAGCAUGGAAUAAUAGAAUAGGACGUGUGGUUCUAUUUUGUUGGUUUCUAGGACCGCCGUAAUGAUUAAUAGGGACAGUCGGGGACAUCAGUAUUCAAUUGUCAGAGGUGAAAUUCUUGGAUUUAUUGAAGACUAACUACUGCGAAAGCAUUUGCCAAGGAUGUUUUCAUUAAUCAGGAACGAAAGUUAGGGGAUCGAAGACGAUCAGAUACCGUCGUAGUCUUAACCAUAAACUAUGCCGACUAGGGAUCGGACGGUGUUAUUUUUUGACCCGUUCGGCACCUUACG
rnacentral:misc_RNA from 1 species